GCUGUUCACUCUCCCUUGCACCUGUUGCUCCUUAGGUUCUCAGAACACUACCUGAAUUUGAAGCUGGUCCACAGUGACCUGUAGAAAUAGGUUCUUUCCAGAAUGGCCCAGGCCUAGGCAAUGAGGAUUAAAUGUGAGCUACACUGCAGCAAGCAGCAGCUCCUGACAGACAGUUCUGGUUUGGCAUUUAACCGGGAACACCUGCUGCCAUACAUAAUGAACACCUGCAUCCAUGCAAAAUGAAUCAAAAGCCUUAGAAUCUGAUAGGGAUGCAAAAAUAAAAGAAGACCGCAAUACCAGGCAUUUCAUUCAGAUGAGGGAUACAAUAAGUUUACAAAGGAAAGAGGACCUUUGUGAUUACACUGGGCCCACCUGGAUAUCAAGGAUCCUCUCCUCAUCCCAAG